rnacentral:rRNA from 1 species
CUACGGGUGGCUCCAGUGGGGAAUAUUGCACAAUGGGCGCAAGCCUGAUGCAGCCAUGCCGCGUGUAUGAAGAAGGCCUUCGGGUUGUAAAGUACUUUCAGCGGGGAGGAAGGGAGUAAAGUUAAUACCUUUGCUCAUUGACGUUACCCGCAGAAGAAGCGCCGGCUAACUCCGUGCCAGCAGCCGCGGUAAUACGGAGGGUGCAAGCGUUAAUCGGAAUUACUGGGCGUAAAGCGCACGCAGGCGGUUUGUUAAGUCAGAGGUGAAAUCCCCGGGCUCAACCUGGGAACUGCAUCGGAUACUGGCAAGCUAGAGUCUCGUAGAGGGGGGUAGAAUUCCAGGUGUAGCGGUGAAAUGCGUAGAGAUCUGGAGGAAUACCGGUGGCGAAGGCGGCCCCCUGGACGAAGACUGACGCUCAGGUGCGAAAGCGUGGGGAGCAAACAGGAUUAGAUACCCUCGUAGUC